AGCCUAGGCCUGCAGAGACUGCUCAGUCACAGUUGAAGGAGACCUACUGAGUCCUGAGGACAACCAACAAAGGCCUUAACGGCACAGAAGGUUGUGACAUCAGAAAGUUGAUAGACGUGAUCGCUAAGAAUCUUGCCGAAUAUUCUAGGACUACAAGUAAAAGAGACCCUAUUUUCUGUGCUGGGAAAAGAAGUCCCACCAGUGUGAUCAGGAAUAAAACACUUCAGGUGCAACGUGAUCAUUAUUCAAAGGUUCUGUGAAGCCAAUUACCCCCUUUGCAAAGUGAAAAGUGCAACUUUGGAUUUUUCUGAUCAGAGUAAUAUAGAGAGGAGCCCACCCUUUUCUUACUAUACAGAGAAGAGUAAAACACAGUCACCUUUACACAGCAUCUGAGUGGACCUAACACAGGGCAGUGAAAGUGAUGCAGAACAAACUUCAAAGCCUCCAGGAGCACACGUGACCUCAGGAAAUGAACAGAAACAACCUAGCUCUCCAAAGAGGAGUAUUUCAUUCAACUCCGAACUGCUCACACAUUAUGCAACUGUGAACAAGGCUCAUUUAAAAAUCCAUGAAGCUUCUAAUGUUUUCACCACAAAAUAUAUUAAGUAUUGAGGUGCUGGAUAUGUUGACUAGUUUGAUUUAAUUAUUCCACAUUAUAUGCAUAAAUAGUAACAUCACCUUGUUCCCCAUAAAAUUAUACAAUUAUAAAUUGUCAAUUUGCAAUUAAAACAAUAAAAUCCAAAAAAAAAAAAAAAA
rnacentral:lncRNA from 1 species